rnacentral:rRNA from 1 species
AGUGAACGCUGGCGGCAGGCCUAACACAUGCAAGUCGAGCGGCAGCGGGUUCCCGCGAGGGGAUGCCGGCGAGCGGCGGACGGGUGAGGAACACAUCGGAAUCUGCCUGGUUGUGGGGGAUAACGUAGGGAACUUACGCUAAUACCGCAUGCGACCCUGAGUCGACGGACUGGGGUGGAAAGUAGAGGGACCGUUCGGGCCGUCACGCGACCAGAUGAGCCGA